UGAAGCAAGCUUGCACUAGGGCCUCUGGCUGCCUCUGCGUCUUUUAUGUUUGUUCUUUCUCGAUCUUAGGCGAAUGAGCAUCCCAUAGGAUUGGUGACAACCUUUUGAGGAAACUGACAGAGACAUAGGUGAAGUGAUUUGCCUAGGAUUGUGCAUCUAAGUAAGUGUCUGAGGCCAGAGGAGUCAGGCUUCCUGACUGCAGGCCCAGCGCUCCAUCCCUGAACCACCUGCGGCAGAAGGGCCAGAGCUGAUCAGUUCCUUUCUUGAACUUUCCACCUAUUGAGGCUCUCCAGUCCAGUGCAUUCUCGUCUAGGAUUCUAGUUGGAGUUUUGGCAGAAAUAUCUC